AGCGAACGCUGGCGGCAGGCCUAACACAUGCAAGUCGAACGAAGUCUUCGGACUUAGUGGCGGACGGGUGAGUAACACGUGGGAACGUGCCUUUAGGUUCGGAAUAACUCAGGGAAACUUGUGCUAAUACCGAAUGUGCCCUUCGGGGGAAAGAUUUAUCGCCUUUAGAGCGGCCCGCGUCUGAUUAGCUAGUUGGUGAGGUAAAGGCUCACCAAGGCGACGAUCAGUAGCUGGUCUGAGAGGAUGAUCAGCCACAUUGGGACUGAGACACGGCCCAAACUCCUACGGGAGGCAGCAGUGGGGAAUUUUGCGCAAUGGGCGAAAGCCUGACGCAGCCAUGCCGCGUGAAUGAUGAAGGUCUUAGGAUUGUAAAAUUCUUUCACCGGGGACGAUAAUGACGGUACCCGGAGAAGAAGCCCCGGCUAACUUCGUGCCAGCCGCCGCGGUAAUAC
rnacentral:rRNA from 1 species